rnacentral:lncRNA from 1 species
AUGCUUGGGGGUGUCCCUUCUGCAGCGUCCCCCGCUGGGACAGCCUGGUGCGGUGCCGGGGAGCGGGGCAGAGCCCUUAAUAAGGACACCAAGUGGUGCGGGGAUGCCAGGCUCGGCCAAGGGACCCCCGGGGCCGUGCAGGUGGGCAGGUGGCGGGGGGGGGACACGGUGAGGCAGGGCCGUGCCAAGCAAGGCGGAGGGGCCGGGCGAGCCGUGGGCGCUGCCCGGUGGCCGGGGGAUGCCCGGAGCCGUGCCCGGAGCCGUGCCCGUGGCCGUGGCUGCGCGCUCAGGGCGCAGCGCUUGGCAUCCCGGAGUCCCCCCGCCCGGCCCGCCCUGUCCGUCCCCCCGGGCUCCGGUUUCCCUGUCGGAGGCAGAUGCUUUCGCAGCCCUGUCCCUCCUCCUCCUUCUGCGGAGCAGCCUCCGCGCCGCGCUCCAGCCGCCCGGAGGUGCCUGCCCGGCCCAGCCCAGCCCGGCCCGGCCCGGCCCGGCACGGCCCGGCCCCUCCGGCCCCGGGCUGGCGGAGGGAGGCAGCGGGCACCCAGCCGCGGGGCCCCGGCCAGCCCCUCCGCCUUCCUCGGGGGGGCUCGGAGGGGGGCUCGGCUCUCCUCGCUGCCCCCCCGCCCCCGGCAGGAUGUUGCCCCCCUCCCGGACCCAGCUGGGGCUCUUCUUCAUCCUCCUCUGCCCCGCCAACAUCAUCGGGCUCUGGUGGGCAGUGGGGAGCCCCCUGGUCAUGGACCCCAACAGCAUCUGCCGCAAGACGAAGCGGCUGGCGGGGAAGCAGGCGGAGCUGUGCCAGCUGGAGCCGGAGAUCGUGCAGGAGGUGGCCAAGGGCACCAAGCUGGGCGUGCGGGAGUGCCAGUACCAAUUCCGCUUCCGCCGCUGGAACUGCACCAGCCACAGCAAGUAUUUCGGCAAGAUCCUGCAGCAGGGUCCUGGCACAAGCCCCGGUCUCCUUGGCCACCGCAUCUCCCUGGCACGCACCAGAAGAGAGCAGGUACCCCCUUUGGUCAGGGUGGCGGUGCCCUGAGGACAGCAUUUUGCUGUUUUCCUCCUCCUUUCUGGAGGGACCGGCAAGGGCAGGGCACCUUGGGCACCCCACAGCUGCAGGCAUCAGCCGAGAGCUGCAGGCAUCAGCCGAGAGCUCCCCAGGAAACCCUCCCCA